AAGUCCUAAUUAUACACCUAAUUGGCUAAUUCACUCUAAUUAAACGAAUAAAGCACAACUAAUCCUAAUUGAAUUAAAUCUAAUUCUAAUUAAAGUAAACCUAACCCACAACAACCAGUUGCCGUCGCCCUUACCACCUGCUAGUGUCUACUAUCAAACCAUUGCUCAGCAGACUCUGCCACAACCAUCUCUUCAAUCUCCUCCGCUGCCACCAGCAAACCAACGGCCAACAAACAAUCAAAUGACCAAAAUGACCCCGUCUUUGUAAUCACCUUCAAGAAUGUCCGUCCGAUGUUUAUGUGGCUGAGAAAAAUGAAACAUGAUGGUUGGUCUGCAAAAUGAAACCUAGAUGGUUUGUUCGUGGGGCUGAGAAAAAUGAAACCCAUAUGGUUCGUCUGCAAACGAACCAUCUGGGUUUGUCGAAUUCACUGACAGCCACCUCAAAAGCCACCAGCAAGCACCCAUCAGCAACCAUAUGCAAAGAAGAAAAAUAAGCGAUAACAACGAAACCAACAAAGCAACGAAAAAUCUUCUCCUUCACAACGCCGGAAGAACAAACAGUUUAUGUCUUCGUCGUCGAUGAAGAUGAACCAGACAAACCAACUACUGGUUCGCUGCUUCGUCGAAGACGAAGACCCAGUUGUUCAUUACUUCGGAAAAUGGCAUGUUUUCAAGGUUAGCGAUCCGGUGAAGGGGUGACAUGGGGAGGUAGACAAAAAUGGAGAACAAGAUGAAGGUGAUGACGGUAAAGAAAAAUGGAGAAUGAAGAAUAGGGUUUAGUCAAAACGGGCAAAAAUAGUCCCUCAAAUUUUAUUUAAAUUGUAAACAGAUUUUUGAACUUUUUAAAUUACAAUUAUAAAUAAAAUUUAGAAAUAGUUAAAUGUUAAUUUGAGAAAUAAACAAAAUAUAAAGGGUCUUUUUAAAUUUUUUU